GUGCCAGCAGCCGCGGUAAUACGUAGGGGGCAAGCGUUGUCCGGAAUCAUUGGGCGUAAAGCGCGCGUAGGCGGCCCGGUCAGUCCGCUCUGAAAGUCCAGAGCUCAACCCUGGAAUGCGGGUGGAUACUGCCGGGCUAGAGUCCGGAAGAGGCGAGUGGAAUUCCUGGUGUAGCGGUGGAAUGCGCAGAUAUCAGGAGGAACACCGAUAGCGAAGGCAGCUCGCUGGGACGGUACUGACGCUGAGGCGCGAAAGCGUGGGGAGCGAACAGGAUUAGAUACCCGAGUAGUCC
rnacentral:rRNA from 1 species